rnacentral:lncRNA from 1 species
CCAAAAGUUAGACAAGAUUAUUACAUCUCUAUUGUAGAGAUUUGGUGCAUGAAUUUUAAGAAGAAAUGAUUCUUCUCAUAAUCUCUAGCAUAGAGAUCAAGAUCCUCCUAUAUCUUCUUAUUCUCUAAGAGUGUCUUAGGAGAAAAGAAGAUUUUCAACCAUCAAGAUAUAAUCUCUAUAAUGGAGCUAGCACUCCCAGUG